GGACGAACGCUGGCGGCGUGCCUAAUACAUGCAAGUCGAACGGUCUUUCUAUGGAAGCUUGCUCCACUGAGAAGAUAGUGGCGAACGGGUGAGUAACACGUGGGUAACCUGCCCAUAAGAGGGGGAUAACAUCCGGAAACGGGUGCUAAUACCGCAUAGUUUUCUUGAUCGCAUGAUCGGGAAAGGAAAGACGGCCUUUGUGCUGUCGCUUAUGGAUGGACCCGCGGCGUAUUAGUUAGUUGGUGAGGUAACGGCUCACCAAGACGAUGAUACGUAGCCGACCUGAGAGGGUGAUCGGCCACAUUGGGACUGAGACACGGCCCAAACUCCUACGGGAGGCAGCAGUAGGGAAUCUUCCGCAAUGGACGAAAGUCUGACGGAGCAACGCCGCGUGAGUGAAGAAAGGUUUUCGGAUCGUAAAACUCUGUUGUCAGAGAAGAACAAGUUGGAGAGUAACUGCUCCAGCCUUGACGGUAUCUGACCAGAAAGCCACGGCUAACUACGUGCCAGCCGCCGC
rnacentral:rRNA from 1 species